UUUUGUAGUUGAUACUUUAGUCUUCGGCAUUUCGUACAAGGAAAAUUUCUUCUGAGAGGCGAGACACCUUUGGAAGGACCUCGUGCGCGUCAAUUCUUGUUGUUUUGUAAUCAGUGGACCUCAUACUGUCAAUUCCUUCAAAAAAACGCAAAAAUUGGAAAAAGUGUGAAAACUUUGGAGUGCUCUGGCGGCCACAGGAGAGGCUAUUGCUUCCUAAUUCUUGUUGUUUUGUCAUCAGUGGACCUUCUACUGUCGAUUCCGUCAAAAAAAC